rnacentral:rRNA from 1 species
UACCAGCGCCCCGAGUGGUCGGCACGUUUAUUGGGCCUAAAGCAUCCGUAGCCGGUUCUACAAGUCUUCCGUUAAAUCCAGCUGCUUAACAGAUGGGCUGCGGAAGAUACUAUGGAGCUAGGAGGCGGGAGAGGCAAGCGGUACUCGAUGGGUAGGGGUAAAAUCCGUUGAUCCAUUGAAGACCACCAGUGGCGAAGGCGGCUUGCCAGAACGCGCUCGACGGUGAGGGAUGAAAGCUGGGGGAGCAAACCGG